rnacentral:rRNA from 1 species
GACGGAGGAUGCAAGCGUUAUCCGGAAUGAUUGGGCGUAAAGCGUCCGCAGGUGGCCGUUCAAGUCUGCUGUCAAAGACCGGGGCUUAACUUCGGAAAGGCAGUGGAAACUGAACAGCUAGAGUAUGGUAGGGGCAGAGGGAAUUCCAGGUGUAGCGGUGAAAUGCGUAGAUAUCUGGAGGAACACCGGUGGCGAAGGCGGCAUCCUGGACCAACACUGACGCUGAGGAGCGAAAGCCAGGGGAGCAAACGGG